UGCUAAAAUGUGAUUAUUAUAUUUUCAUAUUUUUAGGGUAGAAAAUACUUAUGCAGAUCUGUAGGAUAAUUUUGGCAUUUCAAACCUAGAAUUUGUCUAAUGUAAUCUAAUCCCGCCAUUUAUUUUUGAGAAUAUUUAUAGAGGUAGGAAUCUCCUUUCUAAUUUUUUUUACUAUCAUAAGUUUAGUUUAUGCCCCCAUGUUUUGUAUUUUCUAUUUUAUUUUUAGGGUUAAUUGUUGAAAUAGCUCCUAUAAUAUACACAAAGUCUGGAGAUACGCCUCAAUAAAAACACAGAUUCCACUUUGUAUUUCAAGAUUAUUUUCAUCUUAAUCCUCCAAUAGCCCAAUCGCACAUGAGGCGCUAAUACGAAAGGGACAUAGAUGUCGUAUUUUUUUAAUGCUUUUUUACAGGUAGGUAUGUAUACGACAUUAAUAUAAGGCCUCCUACCUAAAAUUAGAAUUUUCCGACAAAGAACAAAUUGAUUAUCAAUUUCUAAAGCGUCAAAAACCAAAACAACGAAAACCUUAACUUUAAAAUCAUAAUUUUAGCGGGUUUUUUUUGGUGAUACCUAUAUAAAAAUACAUAGAAAUGAUCAGCCAAGUUUCAUAAAAUUCCAAAGACGCCUCUAUUGGUAUUUUUCUCUUGUUUUUCAUUAAGGCUAAUAAAGAAAUACAAAUAAUAAUGAAAGGUUUAUAAAAAAAAAUGGAUUACCUCUUAUUACGAACCAGAUUUGUACGUGAUAAUUUCAACUGACCACUUCAGUGAGACAAAAGGACAAGAAUAUAUAAUAAUAUUUUUUGUUUUACAAAUGGUUUCUUUUAACAAGUGAUAUGGGGAAGGUCAUAUCAGUUCACAGUGUCCUGAGCCGAAGAAGACUAGAAUUGGUGGAAAGGUGUUUGCUCUGACUGGUACACAGACUCCUAAUGAGGACCGACUUAUCAGAGGUGAUCCUGAGUAGUCGGUGGUGGCUCAAGAGUCGUGUCUAGGGCUCUGAUACGUGGGUUGGGAGUCAUUUUAUUAUUUCAUUGUUGUUUCCCUUCCAUGUAUCAAAUUUUGGAACUUGUUGAUGUGCCCUUUCAUUGGCUAACUUUUGUUGUUUAGGCUUAAUGCCAAGAUGUUGUUGGAGAUUAAAACAUUGUUGUUGCUAUUGA
rnacentral:lncRNA from 1 species